ACAGACACCAGGGAUGCAGGAUGUGGCUUGACAGAGCUGGAUGUGGACUUUCCCUACUCCAAUGAGUCAGAUGAGAAGACACAAUCAAAAACAGGAGUAAUGAUCCCAUGACACUGGAACCCAUGAGAGUGUCUACCUCUCAUGUUGCUGU